rnacentral:rRNA from 1 species
AGCGAACGCUGGCGGCAGGCCUAAUACAUGCAAGUCGAACGGAUCCUUCGGGAUUAGUGGCGGACGGGUGAGUAACACGUGGGAACGUGCCCUUUGGUUCGGAACAACUCAGGGAAACUUGAGCUAAUACCGGAUAAGCCCUUCGGGGAAGGAUUUAUCGCCAUUGGAGCGGCCCGCGUCUGAUUAGCUAGUUGGUGGGGUAAAGGCCUACCAAGGCGACGAUCAGUAGCUGGUCUGAGAGGAUGAUCAGCCACACUGGGACUGAGACACGGCCCAGACUCCUACGGGAGGCAGCAGUAGGGAAUCUUGCGCAAUGGGCGAAAGCCUGACGCAGCCAUGCCGCGUGAAUGAUGAAGGUCUUAGGAUUGUAAAAUUCUUUCAGC